GUAUUAAAGCUUUUUUGACCGAUAAAGGUCUCAAUAUACAUUCUGAUGUACUUUUUAUUGUGUUUAAAAGAUGACAUAGACACACAGACCGUUUUAAAAAUCUGGGCCUACAAUAAGUUCACAGGUGAGGUUGAAAAGGCGGAGUGCACAUUGCCCGAGAGCCAGCAACAUCCUGAGGAUUUCAAUAAUGAUCCUUCCGCAGGUUCACCUACGGAAA
rnacentral:misc_RNA from 1 species